AUACGGAGGAUGCAAGCGUUAUCCGGAUUUAUUGGGUUUAAAGGGAGCGUAGGUGGGAUAUUAAGUCAGCUGUGAAAGUUUGGGGCUCAACCUUAAAAUUGCAGUUGAUACUGGUUUCCUUGAGUACGGUACAGGUGGGCGGAAUUCGUGGUGUAGCGGUGAAAUGCUUAGAUAUCACGAAGAACUCCGAUCGCGAAGGCAGCUCACCGGGCCGGAACUGACACUGAUGCUCGAAAGUGCGGGUAUCAAACAGGAUUAGAUACCCUGGUAGUCCGCACAGUAAACGAUGAAUACUCGCUGUUUGCGAUACACUGUAAGCGGCCAAGCGAAAGCGUUAAGUAUUCCACCUGGGGAGUACGCCGGCAACGGUGAAACUCAAAUGAAUUGACGGGG
rnacentral:rRNA from 1 species